rnacentral:rRNA from 1 species
AGUGAACGCUGGCGGUAGGCCUAACACAUGCAAGUCGAACGGCAGCACAGUAAGAGCUUGCUCUUACGGGUGGCGAGUGGCGGACGGGUGAGGAAUACAUCGGAAUCUACUUUUUUGUGGGGGAUAACGUAGGGAAACUUACGCUAAUACCGCAUACGACCUACGGGUGAAAGCAGGGGAUCUUCGGUCCUUGCGCGAUUGAAUGAGCCGAUGUCGGAUUAGCUAGUUGGCGGGGUAAAGGCCCACCAAGGCGACGAUCCGUAGCUGGUCUGAGAGGAUGAUCAGCCACACUGGAACUGAGACACGGUCCAGACUCCUACGGGAGGCAGCAGUGGGGAAUAUUGGACAAUGGGCGCAAGCCUGAUCCAGCCAUACCGCGUGGGUGAAGAAGGCCUUCGGGUUGUAAAGCCCUUUUGUUGGGAAAGAAAAGCAGCAGGUUAAUACCCCGCUGUUCUGACGGUACCCAAAGAAUAAGCACCGGCUAACUUCGUG